AAAAACUAACAUUUAAUAUCUAUAAACUAAAUCAAAUAUUUUUCUUAUCUUAGAAUAAAUAAGAAAACUUUUGUAAAUUAAUAUCUCCAUAAAAUAAUAAAAUUUUAAAAUUCCAAUAUUAUUAAUUUAUAGAGGUUCUACUGUAAUAUCAAAACUGAAUAUCACAUUUUACGUGGUUAUCAAUCAACCAAAUACCAUACUAUUAUAAAUCUCUUAAUUUUGUAACAUAAUGUAUUGUGUAUUAUACUUUAGUGUUCAAACCCCAUAUACCCUAAACCUAAAUCUUACAUGUUUUGCAAACCUAAACCCUACACAACAAACCCUAAAUAGGUAAUAUGAUAGUGAAUCAUAGUAUAAAUAAUCAUAUAUGGAACUAAUGUAUGAUUUUGAAAUCAUAAUAUGGAAUUGGAAAACCAACUAGACGAUCGAACAAAAUUGUAUAUCCAAACCGUAUAUGUCACAUAAACCUUAUAUGUAACUUAACCACUAAACCGUUCUAAAUCAUAUGAAUAUAUUUAGAUUAUACAUCAAAUUUUAUGAUAUGAUUUUAAACAAAAUAAUUGACAUCUUAAUAAUUUAGAGAGUUUUGAUAUGAUUUAGAAUGAACCGAAAUUUAAUGUGUGGUAGUUAAAAAUGGCUUACUUAAUCUAAUUUUGCAUUAGCUAUAAAGAGCCUAAUCCUAUGUGGAAUUGAAUCGCAUUUGACUUAUCAAUAUAUGUCACCUUUAUCAUGUCACAUUUUAUAACUAAUCAAAUUAGAACAUUUUCAUUUAAUCAUGUUCUCAGUAAAUUUACUGAAUUCAAAUUUAUUAUAGUAGAUUUUAUCUAACAAUAUUAAAAGGCCGAUAUCCUGAGUGCUCAGCGUGUCCACGUCUGCCAAAAAAAUCAUCCAAUCAAACGAUUUCAUUUUGACACGUCAUACCACGUUAAUAUAUUUUGUGUGAUCACCUUUCAAAUGGGCUGUUUAUAUUUUUUAAAAAGCCCAUAUCAGUUCAUAUUCACCAAAUCUAUUUCGUAUGAAAGCGUAGUCGACCCUUCUCCUUCAUUUAUUCGAUGAAGUUCUGUAACGACCCCUUUCUUCAACAAUCAAUAAAUUUCUUUAAUCCCCUCUUAAUGAAUUCGUUUCACCUAGCAUAUAACUCUUCAGAUUCACUCAGGUUCUCAAUAUAUAACUUCCUCUCCGCUUCUCUGAUCACUUAUUCCACCCACAUCCAAACAAAUCUCAGCGCAUCGAUAGCUUCAAAAAUCCUCAAUGAUGGUGCCGUUAGUCAACUCAUCUUCGCAUUAAAACCACUCUCCUCCGAUCUCUCUCUCGUCUUUUACCUUCUUCUCUGGCGACUUUCAUACACCUUCGAAUCUGAAUGAGUUUUGUAGUGGAGGAGUGAGGACUGAGUUUGCUUCCAGUCCUUGCUACGAACGACUAAAAGAUUGUUGCUAUAUAAAAUUUUCAAAAGUUAUAACAUACAUAAAAUAAAGCCACUUUGCUUCACCAGAAAGACGACCGACAUGCUUAAAUUACUCUUAUUAUUAUUUUUGAUAUCUUUAGCAUCUGGUCCCUUAAUUUUUGGUUUGUGAGCUGCCUUUGAACUUAGAUGUACAAGUUAAUCAAAGAGGUUUGUGAUGGACUUUUGAUAAUGUUUGGCGAGCUGUUCUUUGAGUACAUGUUAUACUUCUUCUUGCUUGCAUUUUGAUUUUUCCUGACACUAAUUCAUGGAACUUAUCUGUGUAUCUCAUUCUAUUUGAUCAGGAAUGAAAAUAUUUUACCUGCUUAUGAAGGGUUGGCAAAAAAAAUUUUUUGUUGUAGAUGAUAUCAGAAAUUGGAACUUUCAAGCCUUUCAAAGCAAUCCUUACAUGCAUCAAACGUGAUCUUAAGCCAGCGGGGAGGUUAAUUCAGUGACCCAUAUGUUUCGUUUAAGUCCACGUUUAUUGAGUAUGUUGUUAUACACUGGUAGAGCCAAAGAGAGCACCUGAAGUACUUCUACAGUCCUAUCUAUGCACAUUAGAAGUUGGUUAGUAUCAAAUUUUUGUACUCCAUCAGGUGCAUUUACUAUCAGACACCAUCUGCGGAGGCUCUGUAACACCCCUUCUUUCAGGUUCUGAUUAGAGAAAAGUCUUUCUCAAGGUCAUAAGCUCUUUUGGGCGAUGGAUAUUUCAUAGUUUUGAUUUUUUGUUUUUCAAAUUUUUGGUGUCUCUAGCGGGCUCCACUGACUAAUUUCUUAACAGAAUUCAGUCCCAAUGUGCCCGGAAAUAUUUCCCUUGAAACGAGCAUACCAGUGGGAUUUGGUGUUGUAGUCAGAUUUUUCUAAUACUUUAAGUUGACUAUCGGAAUGAGCUAGAGCAGAGUGAUACUUAAAGUUGAAAAUAUAUUUGCUUUGAUAAGUUUUUUUUCUGUGCAGUUACAAUUAAAAAAAAAUGUUUCCUGAGUAAAUUUGAUUUAUUA